AUUUUGGGCAUGUGAUUAUGUAUAAUAAUGUAUACUGGGAUAUGUGACUGUUAUAUGACAAACACUUUAUACAUAUAGUAUAUAAAGUUGUAGGGGCAAUAAGUUUCCUAAAAAUAAAAGUUACAUGACCAAUGAAAAAAGGAGAGUGACGUAGUUUUUUUCUUUUCUUAAAAGGGCGAAGGUGACGUGGUGGUGACUAGAAGAGCCAUGUCUGGUGUGGCGCCUAGUUAGCGUCGUGUCGGUACAUCGUCAGCUCCACAUGUCAACUAAUCGCUGGUCAAACAUAAUCAAUGUGCAUAAUUUGUUAUUUUGUUAUAACUUUUUUCUUAUUGAAUUUCAUCCUUGUGUUUUAUUCAAUAUGCACCUUUUUGUCGCAAUCAAUUCGCUUUUUUUUUGUUUUUAUGUUUAUGAAUAAUAGAAUGUA